ensembl:ncRNA B0496.17 ncRNA
AAUACUCGCUAAAAGUUCAAUGCAAGCCUUCAGUUGAAGUACCAUGCCGAAGUAAUUGGAGAAUUGAGAAACACUGGACACAGCUCACUUAUUAAUUUUUUAGAAAAACUGUGUUUCUUAGGAAGAGCA